UACAGAGGUCUCAAGCGUUGUUCGGAUUCAUUGGGCGUAAAGGGUGUGUAGGUGGCGCCGUAAGUCGGGUGUGAAAUUUCGGAGCUUAACUCCGAAACUGCAUUCGAUACUGCGGUGCUUGAGGACUGGAGAGGAGACUGGAAUUCAUGGUGUAGCAGUGAAAUGCGUAGAGAUCAUGAGGAAGACCAGUGGCGAAGGCGGUUCUCUGGGCAUUACCUGACGCUGAGGAGCGAAAGUGUGGGGAGCGAACAGG
rnacentral:rRNA from 1 species